rnacentral:snRNA from 1 species
GUGCUCUCUUUGGCAGCACAUACACUAAAAUUGGAACAAUACAGAGAAGAUUAGCAUGGCCUCUGUGUAAGGAUGACAUGCAAAUUUGUGAAGCAUUCUGUAUUUUU